rnacentral:lncRNA from 1 species
UUUUUUGUUUUUUGUUUUUUUUUUGGGGGGGGGCUGCACCUGCGGCAUAUGGAGGUUCCCAGGCUAGGGGUCAAAUUAGAGCUGCAGGCCGGUCUCCACCACAGUCACAGCAAUGCUGGAUCCUUAAUCCACUGAGUGAGGCCAGGGAUCGAACCCGCGUCCUCAUGGAUACUAGUCAGGUUCGUAACCUGCUGAGCCACAAUGGGAGCUCCCAUGCAUAGCUUUUUAUUUUUUUAUUUUUAUUUUUAUUUUAUUUUAUUUUAUUUUUUUUUUUUGUCUUUCGUCUUUUUGUCUUUUUUUUUGUUGUUGUUGUUGUUGCUAUUUCUUGGGCCGCUCCCGCGGCAUAUGGAGGUUCCCAGGCUAGGGGUCUAAUCGGAUCUGUAGCCACCAGCCUACGCCAGAGCCACAGCAACGCGGGAUCCGAGCCACAUCCGCAACCUACACCACAGCCCACGGCAACGCCGGAUCGUUAACCCACUGAGCAAGGGCAGGGACCGAACCCGCAACCUCAUGGUUCCUAGUCGGAUUCGUUAACCACUGCGCCACGACGGGAACUCCCUUAUUUUUAUUUUUUAAUUUUUUUUAUUUUCCCACUGUACAGCAAGGGGAUCAAGUUAUCCUUACAUGUAUACAUUACAAUUACAUUUUUUUCCAUGCAUAGCUUUUUAAACGGCAGUCUUAGAAACAGUGAAUAUCUGUGUCCAGCACUGGCACGUGUGGCAGCAUCUGGCUGUGCACAUGCGCCCUCGUUCUGGAAGGUGGGGCAGUGACAUAGCCGUGGCCUCUGUGUGGCUGUGAGGCAGGACAGGAAGGCCUGGGUCCACUGUCUGAGCAGGACUUGCCAUACAGGGAGCUGACACUUCUAUCCCUUCCCUUCACAACUGCCAAGGGACGGGGCCUGGAAACACUCAAUGGGAAAGAAGGAAGAGGCUUUGAUUUCUCUGGAGCUGGUGCCCACUCCCUGUCCUCGGCCACCUCGCCUCCCUGCCGGCGUCGUGCUGCUUUGCUGGCCCAGGGUUCCAUCCUGCCCUCUGCCUGCGUGCAGUGUCAGUGACUCUACAGUUCUCUUGUCCCCUCCCUGUGGUGAGCAGCCCCUGUCACCCCCAUGCAGCAGCUGCUUGGAUCUCUGUCUCUCUACACAAGUGACAGCUCUCGAAGUGACAGCUCUCAACUCCGGACUUCAACUCCGCGAAGUCCAAACAAAGCCUCGUCCUCUCUCAUGGCCACAGAACAGCUUCCCCUGCUGCCUAAGAAGUUAUGCUGCAGUCCUCGUUGUGGCUCAGUGGGUUAAGGACCUGGCGUUGUCUCCAUGAGGACAGAUGCCGAUUUGAUCCACAGCCUCGCUCAGUGGCUUAAGGGUCCGGUGUGGCUGUGGCUGUGGCUGUGUCUGUGCUGAGGGCCCACAGCUGCACCUCUGAUUCGACCUCUAGCCCAGGAACUUUCAUGUGCUGCAGGUGUGGCUAUAAAAAGAAAAAAGGAAGCUAUGUUUCUCUUUUGUCACUAACAGCAUUAUCACUGACAGGCAUUGUCAGGCACCUGCCACAGGCCAGGAUCUUGGUUCUGGGUGGUGAGCCCAGGGCGUCCCCUGCACAUGACAGCCAGACUCCAGGAUUAUCCUCAGCAAGUGACACAGGGCACUGUGACAGACACCAAAGCUGAGGUGCCCGCUAGGUGGCCUCUGCAGAGGUGACAUUUAAAGUGAGCCCUAGUCAUGGGAAGAGCAACCUGGGCUGAGGGAACAGCAAAUGCAGAAGCCCUGCGGCAGACAGUGCUCCUUGUGCAGUGCCCCGAGGCUAAGCCAAAAGGGAGCCUAGGUUGGGGGACGUGUGGGCAGGACCCAGAAUACUGUAGUUUGGGGUUCACAGAGAAAGUGUCUGGACCACCUUAAAGGUUCACUGAUGCUCUGUGGGGACCAGCGUGGAUGUGGCAAGGAGGGAGGGGUGAUGAGUGGGAAGACAGUCAUGUGGCAGGUAGGAAAGGAGGAUGGGGGUGGGUGGAGGUGGAUGGAGGAGGAUGGAGGAGGAUGGAGGAGGAUGGAGGAGGAUGGAGGAGGAUGGAGGAGGAUGGAGGAGGAUGGAGGAGGAUGGAGGAGGAUGGAGGAGGAUGGAGGAGGAUGGAGGAGGAUGGAGGAGGAUGGAGGAGGAUGGAGGAGGAUGGAGGAGGAUGGAGGAGGAUGGAGGAGGAUGGAGGAGGAUGGAGGAGGAUGGAGGAGGAUGGAGGAGGAUGGAGGAGGAUGGAGGAGGAUGGAGGAGGAUGGAGGAGGAUGGAGGAGGAUGGAGGAGGAUGGAGGAGGAUGGAGGAGGAUGGAGGAGGAUGGAGGAGGAUGGAGGAGGAUGGAGGAGGAUGGAGGAGGAUGGAGGAGGAUGGAGGAGGAUGGAGGAGGAUGGAGGAGGAUGGAGGGGGAUGGAGGAGGAUGGAGGAGGAUGGAGGAGGAUGGAGGAGGAUGGAGGAGGAUGGAGGAGGAUGGAGG